rnacentral:rRNA from 1 species
UAGGGAAUCUUCGGCAAUGGGGGGAACCCUGACUGAGCAACGCCGCGUGAGUGAAGAAGGUUUUCGGAUCGUAAAGCUCUGUUGUUAAGGAAGAACGAGUGUGAGAAUGGAAAGUUCAUACUGUGACGGUACUUAACCAGAAAGGGACGGCUAACUACGUGCCAGCAGCCGCGGUAAUACGUAGGUCCCGAGCGUUGUCCGGAUUUAUUGGGCAUAAAGCGAGCGCAGGCGGUUAGAUAAGUCUGAAGUUAAAGGCAGUGGCUCAACCAUUGUAGGCUUUGGAAACUGUUUAACUUGAGUGCAGAAGGGGAGAGUGGAAUUCCAUGUGUAGCGGUGAACUGCGUAGAUAUAUGGAGGAACACCGGUGGCGAAAGCGGCUCUCUGGUCUGUAACUGACGCUGAGGCUCGAAAGCGUGGGGAGCGAACAGG